rnacentral:antisense_RNA from 1 species
CCCAUUGGGAUCAAAUCAAAGGCACAGUGAACUCCUCAUAGCAUCUUCUUUGGAAUUACUCAGGAACCAGAACUUUUUACACAAAUGUAAGAAAUUCUACCAAGGAGUCCCCUUACCUAACAGCAUCUCACAAGGCUGCACCAGAUUCCAGAAGAGGCUUCUCUUGAUACAUCAAGGCUUUGUGGCCAUGAAGCCCUUUGAGUGAAAACUGUGCAGAAGCCCAGAGUAAAAGUGAAGCUGCUCUGGAUGAAGUAGUGAAGCAAGAGUAGGGGCCUGAAUCCUGCUACAACUAUCUUCCUUUACCACCGUGGUGACACCUAAGGGGACUUCCUUACAACACCUUGAACUCUUCCGAACACAGUUUGAAAACCACUGCCCCAGACAGCAAUAUGUUUGACCUGAAUGGCAUUCCAAUCUUUUCUGUACCUCCACUCAGCACAGUU